rnacentral:rRNA from 1 species
GAUGAACGCUGGCGGCGUGCCUAAUACAUGCAAGUCGAGCGAACGGACGAGAAGCUUGCUUUUCUGAUGUUAGCGGCGGACGUGUGAGUAACACGUGGAUAACCUACCUAUAAGACUGGGAUAACUUCGGGAAACCGGCGCUAAUACCGGAUAAUAUUUUGAACCGCAUGGUUCAAUAGUGAAAGACGGUCUUGCUGUCACUUAUAGCUGGAUCCGCGCUGCAUUAGCUAGUUGGUAAGGUAACGGCUUACCAAGGCAACGAUGCGUAGCCGACCUGAGAGAGUGAUCGGCCACACUGGAACUGAGACACGGUCCAGACGCCUACGGGAGGCAGCAGUAGGGAAUCGGCCGCAAAGGGCGAAAGCCUUACGGAGCAACGCCGCGUGAGUGAUGAAGGUCUUCGGAGCGUAAAACUCUGUUAUUAGGGAAGAACAUAUGUGUAAGGAACUGUGCACAGCGUGACGGUACCUAAUCAGAAAGCCACGGCUAACUACGUG